rnacentral:tRNA from 1 species
GGGCUCGUAGCUCAGCUAGGUAGAGCGGCAGGCUCUUAACCUGUUGGUCAGGGGUUCGAACUGCAACUUGCUGG